GUCUGGUCUUAUCAGCUUUCUUGUUGUUCCUAUAGUUUGUUAAUAAAUAUGAAAAAUUCUGAUAGUACCUGUUACGUGUGUGUUUGUGACACCAAAGAAAAUUUUGACCUAGUCCAGCACUCUACAGAAAGCUUGAAGUAUCUGAUUAAACUACAGUCUAUUGCCUUCUCUCACUCCUGCAACCAGCUGGUGGAACCAUAGUGUGGUUCAUCUCAAACAAGCCCAAGGUCUUCAGACUUACUAAAAACUUCAAGGUUAUUUGACUUUGUUCAACCCAGACUCAUUGGAGAUAUGUGCCCAGGGCUUCAUUUUUGAGAACAGAGAAACAUGUACCCUAAAGCAGGGAUUCUCAACCAGUCAGCUGUGGCCCCCUAGUGGCCUCAUUGAUCCUGCAGGUAUAGAUGUUUGGAGAAAUUGAUGCCCUACCUGGGGGUCUGCAUUAACGAGACUCUCCUAAUGAAUGGGAGGACACUAAAAGGCAUCUUCUUUCCAUCCAUGUAUCAACUCCAAGACAGGCAGGAAAGUCUCUUCCAUGUCAAUAUCCUCUUGGCCUCACCUGUCCACGCGAAUCCUCCCAAAGUAAUCUAAGCAUCAAGCACAUCCACUUUCCUUCAAACUGAUGUGAUCGGGGCGAUGCGCCGAGGAUGCGGGGCGACCCAGGUGACCUUGUUCCAUAUUCAAUUUCAUCGGCCCUGCGUUCCCAUGGACAGGUCCUCCGCCAGCUGCUCUCCCCGUCGCACAGUUCCUUGUGCAACAGCGAGAACAUCAGUCUGGGGACGACUUCAAGAGCCCUUAUUGAUGGUGUUGUCAAGGCGAGGGCGAGAGCAACUUAAUCUCUCUCAAUUAAUACCCCCGCCUGCGGCCACCACGUCCCAGUGCUCAGUAGCCCUUUUCCCCCACACAGGCCCCUGAGCGCCUUGCUGACACUCACCUUUCUACUCCUAAUGAGUCCCUCUCCGAUUUGCUGCCAUUGCUCCAGGCCUAAAAAUUACCCUAAAUCCCAACACAUCCUUGACUCUGUGCAUGUCCACCCUGUGUGAAGAUAAGGAGGAAUAUCCUUUUUAAUGUCUGUUGUGGACCCUUUUUAGAUUGUAAUGAUGUAAUAACAGUGUGCUACAUUGGUGAUGAAUUAAAGCUCAUGUGAAAUUUCCUGUUUUAGUUGAAAAUACAUCCACAUGCUGAAAUAAAAGUCUCAGCAACUUCUUCAACCUCAUGCUGACUUUAAAG
ensembl:processed_transcript